rnacentral:snRNA from 1 species
CUGGCCUUUCAGCCUUUAUGGCUGAAAUCAACUGUCGUAUCUGUUCUUAUCAGUUAAAUGUCUACAUGUCCUCAAUCAUAGGACCAUAUAUUAAGAGAUGGAAUAGGACACUGUUCCAUCCACUACACACAUCAACCUGGAAUUCUUGUAUUUCUAGGAAUGGGUGUAACCUUC